rnacentral:rRNA from 1 species
GACGGGGGAUGCAAGCGGUAUCCGGAAUCACUGGGCGUAAAGCGUCUGUAGGUGGUGAUGCAAGUCACUGGUGCAAAACUCUGGCUCAACCGGAGGAAAGCCAGUGAAACUGCAUGACUAGAGUGUGGGAGAGGUAGAAGGAAUUCCCUGAGUAGCGGUGAAAUGCGUAGAUACAGGGAAGAACACCGGAGGCGAAAGCGUUCUACUGGAACACAACUGACACUGGGGAACGAAAGCUAGGGGAGCGAAUGGG